rnacentral:rRNA from 1 species
GUGCAUGGAAUAAUGGAACAGGACCUUGGUUCUAUUUUGUUGGUUUUCGGAAUCCAAGGUAAUGAUCAAUAAGGACAGGCGGGGGCAUUCGUAUUGCGGCGUUAGAGGUGAAAUUCUUGGAUCGUCGCAAGACGCACUAGAGCGAAAGCAUUUGCCAAGUAUGUCUUAAUUGAUCAAGAACGAAAGUUAGAGGUUCGAAGGCGAUCAGAUACCGCCCUAGUUCUAACCAUAAACGAUGCCAGCCAGCGAUCCGCCGAUGUUCCUCCGAUGACUCGGCGGGGAGCUUUCCCCGGGAAACCAAAGCUUUUGGGUUCCGGGGGAAGUAUGGUUGCAAAGCUGAAACUUAAAGGAAUUGACGGAAGGGCACCACCAGGAGUGGAGCCUG